UACAGAGGGUGCGAGCGUUGUUCGGAAUUAUUGGGCGUAAAGGGCGCGUAGGCGGUGCGGUAAGUCACCUGUGAAAUCUCCUGGCUCAACUGGGAGUCUGCAGGCGAAACUGCCGUGCUGGAGUAUGGGAGAGGUGCGUGGAAUUCCUGGUGUAGCGGUGAAAUGCGUAGAUAUCAGGAGGAACACCUGUGGCGAAAGCGGCGCACUGGACCAUAACUGACGCUGAGGCGCGAAAGCGUGGGGAGCGAACAGG
rnacentral:rRNA from 1 species